AUAUCCCUGCAGGCCAGAAGAGGGCGCCAGAUCUCAUUACAGAUGGUUGUGAGCCACCAUGUGGUUGCUGGGAAUUGAACUCAGGACCUUUGGAAGAGCAAGCAGUGCUCUUAACCUCUGAGCCAUCUCUCCAGCCCCUACUUUCCUUUUCUUAUCUGAAGCCAGCAGUUGAAUCUGACAGGCUCUCACCUUGGCGGACGCGCCUGUAAGGUGACCCUGGAGGAGUUGGGAGAUGUCCCAACCCCUCAUCAGGAUUCGGGGUCCCCACAGGUCCCCCUCAUCAUAGGAUGCCCGUGAGGGGUCCGUCUGUUAGGACGCCCAUGAGGGGUCCGUCUGUUUGGACACCUGUGAAGGGUCCAUCUGUUUUGUGAACUCUGGGGAUCGGGAGACUCUGUUGAAUUGUCCCUGUCCCAUCCUUACGGUCUUUGGCAUAAUCGAGACUCCCUCUCUGGACUCUCAUCUACUUGGACCAUCUGUAGGGCCCUUGUUCUUCCUUUUUGUCUGCCUAUCUUGUUCGUCUGUGUGAUUUGUUAUACUUAUAUAAAUGUAUCAAUGUGUGAAAACUGUGGCCACAUGUGUGAAUGUUUUAUGCUUGAGUUUAUGUAUGCGGUGGGACUUGUGGGCCAGAUUGCCAGCGGAAGGGAUAGAGGCCCCUUUGGUGAUUGAACUGGCACGGACUAUGACUGUGUGCUAGGGCAGGCUAUGAGCAUUGUGGGGCCCAGAUAUGGCUGGCAGGUUCUGGCUGGGCUCCUGUGUGGACACGGGGCAGAGCUGGCGGGAGCCAGCAGGAUCCUCAAGGAGCUCAGUGUGGGGGCUGGUGGAGAACUAACUGCCCCUCCAGGGUCACAGCUGAGGAGUAGCCUACAAGUCUGUGGGCCCAGCCAGGGCAUGGAGUCACUUUCAGUCUGCCAUUCUCAUGUUCUUGAAAAUCUGAGGUUAACAGCAAUCUUUUGUUCCCAUGGUACACGCUUUCCCCAUCCUCUUCCUCUUCCAUGGUGUUGGGUGGGGCUCCCAAGACCUGCCCUGGGGUUAAAACCUGAUCAAGGUCUGGCUCCAAGAAUGGAAUGUCACCAACAGUUUCUUGUCUGUGGUACAGUGCUGAUGCAAAUUGAGAGUUAUUCUUGUUAUGGUAUAUGCAUGUAUUUCUGUUCUUGUUUAAAAUAUUGUAACUUUACAAUAUAUUCUAGAUUACUGAGGGAAAUCACAAGAAAGACUUUGAUAAGAGUUUCUGUUUUAAAAGAAAAGAAAAAGUGGAAUUUGUCUAAAUGUCUGAGGGAUCAAAGGAACGGACUGAGGGUAUAUAGAAGGUUGUAGAAAGUCAGAGGGGAUGUGAUGUAAACUGUUAUGGUUUCUUAUACCUGCAAAUACUGAAUUUAAAAGUUAAUUCUUGUUGGUUUUCAUCUUAAGAAUGGCUAAUGAUUCUGCAAACUGUUUAUGUGUGUAUGUAUACAGGUAUGUGACUUGUUGAAAAUGUAAGCAAGCUUUAACUGUACGUAUGUAUGUGUGUAACUUGGAUCCAACUGUGUGUAUGUGUGCAAGUAAUUAUUUAGAAAAACGAGCUUUAAACAGCAACCACGUGGCUUCCUCCAUCUUGGCUGGUGACCUCAUGGGCAGGCAUGUGGCUGGCAGCCAUCUUUUACUAAGGUUAUAAAGAUCUACUCAGGUUAACACCUAAGUACUUAUGUCUUUACCAAGUGUUCAACAGCAAGUUUAUAGAGAAUUUAAAUAGAUGACAACAUAUGUUUAAUAAGUAAGAUACUUAAUAAAUAUUAAAGCUGCACAUCAAUGCUUUUAUACACAGGAAUAUACCUUGCUCUGGCAGCUAAACUUUGUAAUAUAAAGGAAUCAUAGGAAACAGCUGAGGUUUGCAAAUGUAUGGCAGGACUAGAGUUCCAAAAAGAGUCUAGUUGCAGUGGUGGACCUUAGCAGUUUAAAAAAAAAAAUGCCAGUGUCAGGUGAUGAUCACCGGAAGCACCAGCCAUAAUAAAAUGGAGUAAGCAAGGCUAUGUAUGUGCUGCCAAAGAUAGGGUCAAAGAAAUGAUCCAAGCCUCUAAGUAAAAGAACCAAAAUGAUUAUAAAUGAAUCCCAGAUAUUGAACUUUGGGAUUGUUUGCACUCUGGAGCUUGGUUUUACUUUAUACAGAUUAUGAUGAUGCCAUGUUUUCUCCCCCUUAAAGUAAAAGAAGAUACUUUAUUGUUGAUAUUACAGAAGACAUUUGAGAGAUCUUAAUCUUUUAAGAACAGUUUUUAUAGUUAAAAACCAAUGACUUAAAAAAAUGUUUCUCCUUACCCAAGGUACGUUCAGGCUUAAGAAUGUUGUCUAGCCUCCUUGUAUUUGCUAAGUUUGUUAAGCUUACGUUAUUUGGAUAAACUGAUGCAUAUAUAUGUUUUAUAUUGAUAUUUUGUUUUGGUUUCUUUACUGAACCUGUAUUUGAUGCUAGAAGAGCUUCAACUUAAAAGCAUUGUUUUUAGGCUACUUAUUGUAGGCUGUUAGAGAACAUAAAUAGUCAGUCAUAAGUAAUCAAUUUUUUUUAAUUGUAGUCAGGGUAAGUAAGUACUGAUGUAAUAUUACAGGGAUAAAUUUACUCAUUUACUCAGUCCCUUGCAUAUGUUUUCAGGGUUGAGCUUGAAACAAGUAACUAGAAACAAAGUUUGUCUAUUCAGAUACCUGACAGCCCUCAUACUUCAGAGAUCUGCAGAAUAUGGCAUUUAAAUGUUGAUCUAAAAGCUUAUUAUAUCAGACAGGUUUCCAGAUCCUAGCAGUGACCCAAGGUCUCCGAAGAAGAUUAUGUACGAGGCACCAUAACAUCUCUGCCUAGAUUAUGGCAACACUGACCACAGGGCAAGAUGCUCCAAUGCCUGGCUUACCCAAGAGCUGCAGAAGGAGGUGGCACAUUAGCAGGAGCUGCUGAUGGCUCAGAGACUCUCAGCAUCUGCUCUAGGAGGUCUAAAGGUAAAAGAGGACAGUCCUGGAGAUGCUCUGUCGGCUGCAUCAUCUCAUCCCACCCCAGCUUCACCCUCAUCUCCUCCUCCACACAAUGGGGAACUGGAGCCUCCUUUUCCCCCAGUGCUGAGCCUCAGAUUGGGCCUGAGGAGGCCAUGGAGAGGCUGCAGGAGACGGAGAAGACUAUUACCGAGCUGAAUGAGACUUGAGAGGAGAAGCUUCGUAAGAUAGAAGCCCUGAGAAUGGAGAGAGAAGCAUUGCUGGCUGAAAUGGGCGAGGCUAUCCGAGAGGAUGGUGGUACUGUGGGUGUCUUCUCUCCAAAAAAAAAAAAGACUCCCCAUCUAGUAAAUCUGAAUGAGGACCCCUUGGUGUCUCAGUGUUUUCUCUACCACAUCAAAGAUGGUGUCACCAGGGUUGGCCAGGUAGAUGUGGACAUCAAGUUGACUGGACAGUUCAUCCGGGAGCAACACUAUCUCUUCUGAAGCAUCCCUCAGCCUGGUGGAGAAAUGAUGGUCACAUUAAGGAGUUGAUGGGAAGCUUGUGAUGGAGCUGCUUGUGCUGAAGUCAGGAAACAGGAUCGUAAUGGGCCAGAUGGUGAAAAAAGAUUGAUGCUGUUCCGACUGGUGCCUCCAAUGCUAUGGAGACCUGGGUAGGGAUUGGUCCCUGUAAUUUAUAGGAUUGGAAGCUUCUUGGUCUGCACUCAGAUAUAGUUUAUCCUUCUCAGAUUUCUGAUAGUACUGAUGGCUAGGCUAGCUCUAACUUUGUCAGCAUGGCAGCAUCAACCAGAUCCUUCUGCAAGGCUAUAGCUAGCUCGUUAGCUCACUUUUAGAAAAAUGUUCUAAGAUAUAAAAGUUUAAGUUAGUCAUAAAGGUUCAGAUAUGAGUCUAAGAAAGGUCUGAGGAUAGAAAAGCUUCUAAACUUUGAGGGUCUCAAAAAAAUAAUUUAGGAUGAGAUAUGUUUCAGAUUACUCUCCUGUUUUAUGGUUCAGAGCUUAACAUUUAGGAGCCCUGAUGAGCUGGUAGAGCAAUAACUACUUACUGUUCAGUCACAAGCUCAACGUUUUAGAUUUGUUUUAGAUGUCAUAAAUGUAAACCUAAAAGUGUUUCUCAUCAGGCCAAAAAUCUCUGUCCAAUUUAUACCUGGCUUUCUGGACAGAAGGAAAAUGCACAAGCUUUUAACCCAAAUCUGUAGUUCUUGUUGGGACUCAAAGGUAUGAGUCCACUUCUGCUGUUUUACAAGAUACCCAUUACCUGCUUUUUCUACAAUAUGGAUUUCAGUACAGAUUGGUAAUACUAAUGUAUCUAAAACUUUUAUGUCAUUUUGUAAGUAGGCCUCAAAGGAUCAAAAGAGUCAUAAAAACCUAGACCCACUUUACAGAGGUUGAAAAGGACCCCAGAUAAGUAUUCCUAAAGAUGGUAUUUUUCCUCUCUUCUGGUUUUGGGACUACUGCUUUUCCCAUUACUAAGGGUAUGGACCUAAGGGUUCCAAAUAAGUUCAUAAAUUUUAACUUCUGUUCCUAGUUUAAAUUUGUCUCAACAGAUUUCCACUUGGCUGGCAGUCACCUCCAAGUUUCAGUCACUAACUCCACUGCUCCAGAUGACUGUGAGCUCCGGACUUGCUAAAAGCUGACGUAGACCAGCCCAGCUAACAUGAUUCUUCCCUGUCCCUAUGGGGUCAGGCAGCUACAUGCUUCUGACAAAUGCCCCUUGCCCAAUCUUUGACUAGCUUUUUAGCCUUUUGGGGUCCCUGACAACGGCGCCCCAAUGCCAGCUCGAAGCAGUUCCAGAAGAGAAUACAUCAUCCCAUGUUCCCUGUUCAGAAAAGGCUGAAAUGCUGGGUCAAAAGAAAACUCCCUGGCAUGGAGACAAGAUGGCUAACUAUACAUGGCCAUUAUUAGAGAGGGAUACUUAUGAGCUAACUGCCCAAAACCCAUGAUUGGGUUCCAUUAGGCACAUGAGAAGGGGAAAUGCGAGACCAAAAUGAGCCAUCUUAGAAAUAAGACCAAAAUGCUUUCACCCAAAAACUAAGGCCUAAGAUUUCUCUUUCUAGGAAUAGGCCAAUAGUUACUGAAACAAGUCAGUCCAGAUUCCAGAAAUCAGGAAGUGUAAAAGUACAGAGUCACAAGGUAGUCAUGAGGUAAUGCCUGCCAGACUAUGGAAUGUCCUCUCCCUGGUUUCCAGGGUAACUGACCACAGAAAUGCCCCCACCUGAAGGCAGCCAAUGAGAAAUGGUGGCGGGCAAACACUCCCUUAGAAGUAAUUUCUAGAAGUCCCUAGAAGCGAGCCAAUCAGAAUUGUACUCAUACCAGCACCCCUAAAUGAUGUAACCUUGUGAUUUUUCCCUUUAAAAACUGAGCUUGCAGACAGGCGGGUGCUUCCUCCAGCCUCCACUGCAUUGGAUGUAUUGGACGAAGUCCCUGCCUAGGCUUGUAUUUGGAUAUCCCAGAAUUAAACCUUGCUUUUGCAUUCUGGCACGCUCAUCUUUGGUGGUCUCUCUGGGGGUCACAAUCUGGGCACAACAGUUAGCAGGACUAUGAGAGGGCAGUGAAAGAGGGGACAAAGAGGAACUGAGUGUCAGGACAGAACUAAGCUAUGUAGACAGGAUUUCAUCCCAGAGAAAUAAAGUAGAUGGACAAAGAGCUUGGUGUAUCUAGAUUUAUUCCUGCCCUGAAUGCUGAUGAACUGUAGCUGUUUUGAUAGAAUUUUGUCUUAGAGGAAUAAAGUUAACAGAUAUGAGAGCAUAGUGUACAUAGAUUUUUUUUCCCUCAGAUACCCCCCACUGGAUGUAGCAUCUUCCCCAGAUUCUGGGCAAUCCAUAGUGUUCCAUGUAUGCAUUUCUCAUACCAGUUCAUUUGUUUGUUUAUUUUAUUCUCGUUUAUCUGGCUGUUUGUUUUCUAGAGAGAAAGAAGAGGAGUGGUAUUGGAUAGGGGAGGGAAAUCUAGGAGGAGAUGAGAGAAGGGCAAUCAUGACAGUAUACAUUGUAUGAAAAAGUUAUUUUCAAUAAAAAAGCAAAAUCAGUAAAAAAUAAGAAAAUUUAAAUUUAAAAUUAGGGUGGAACAAAAGGUGACUAAAUUCACAUAUUUUAUUAAGUAGAUUAGACAAGGAUAUAGUGGAAAAGUGUUUACUAAAAUGGAUGAAUGUGCAAGUGAAGAAUAACUACUUUUUCUGUGUAUUAUUUUUAAUGAGGACAUAUAUAUCUCCUGUCAAAAUACUACUUAAACAUGUUAUGAUUGAAGACUGGAGGGUUGUAGUGAGCUUGAGGCCAGCCUAGGCUACAUAAUAAGUAUCAAGGUGGCUAGUAGUGGCUUCCUAGAUAGAGCCUGAUUCAAAGAAGCAGAUAGAGGUGUUGGACAGAUGGCUCAAUGGUUAAGAACACACAGACUCAGUGGGUGAGAUUGUCAGAUUAAAAUCAAAUAUCUCUUGUAAUCAAACUUGUUUCCUAAACCUAACUUUUCUUCUUUUGGCUUUUCAAGAAAGGGUUUCUCUGUGUAGCCCUAGCUAUCCUGGAACUAGCUCUAUAGACCAGGCUAGCCUGAACUCACUGCCUGCCUCUGCCCCCCAAGUGCUGGAAUUAAAGAUGUGCACCACCACCACCACCACCACCACCACCACCCCACCUGGCCCCUUGAUAUUUCUUAAUUUUUGAAUUGAACCAAGCAAUCUUCCUACAUGUUUUCUAACACCAGGAGUUCUCUCACAUAUUCUUUGUUUAUUUUGUUUUGUGUCAAGGUUUCUUUUUGUAGUCUUGGUUGUCCUGAAACUAGUAGAACAGGCUGGCCUCAAACUGUCAGAGAUCUCCCUCCUCUCCCUUCCAAGUGCUGGGAUUAAAGAUGUGGGCCACCCACCACCCAGCCUCAAUACAUUCUUAUAAGUGUUAACAAAGUGAUUAUGAAGACUUUACAAAUUCUAUGUUUCAGGCCACUCUAUAGUGAGAUCUCUACUCUACAGUGAGUGUCUAUAAAUGAACAUGGGAUGACUGAAAGUUUUAUAAGAUUCCCUAUAUGUCUUAGUCACUGUUCUAUUACUGUGAAGACACACCAUGACCACAGCAACUCUUAUAAAGGAAAGCAUUUAAUUGGGGCUUGCUUAGAGUUCACAAGUUUAGUCCAUUGUUAUCAUGAAAGGGAGCAUGGCAGCAUGCAGGUAGACAUUGUGCUCGAGAAGGAGCUGAUUGUUCUACAUCCAGAUCAGUAGGUAACAGGGAGAAGAGAGACACAUUGGUUCUGUCUUGAGCAUUUGAAACUCCAAAGCCCAUCCCCCAGUGACACACUUUCUCCAACAAGGCCACAUCUCCUAAUCCCUGUCAAGUAGCACCACUCCCUAAACCAAACAUUCAAAUAUAUGAGCCUAUGGGGUACAUUCCUAUUUGAACCAUCACAAUCUAUUCCCUAGCCACCAUAGGCUUAUAGCCAUAUCAGAAUGCAAAAAUGCAUUCAGUCCAACUUCAAAAGUCUCCAUAGUCUGUAACAGUCUCAACACUGUUUCAAAGUCCAAAGUUCAAAGUCUCUUCUGAGAUUCAAGGGAAUCUCUUAACUGUAAUCCCCUGUAAAAUAAAAUAAAAUAAGCAGAC